UACGGAGGGGGCUAGCGUUGUUCGGAAUUACUGGGCGUAAAGCGCACGUAGGCGGACUGUUAAGUCGGGGGUGAAAUCCUAGGGCUCAACCUCAGAAUUGCCUCCGAUACUGGCAGUCUCGAGUGCGGGAGAGGUGAGUGGAAUUCCCAGUGUAGAGGUGAAAUUCGUAGAUAUUGGGAAGAACACCAGUGGCGAAGGCGGCUCACUGGCCCGUAACUGACGCUGAGGUGCGAAAGCGUGGGGAGCAAACAGG
rnacentral:rRNA from 1 species